rnacentral:ncRNA from 2 species
UACCUUAGCUGCGUUAUUGGUGAUGCGAAAUAGAAAUCUAUUAUUUCGUCAUUGAAAAGGGAAUCAGGUGUAAAUCCUGAACAGACCCGCUGCUGUAAUUCUUAAUUAAUUACUUUAAAUACCGCUUGAGCCACUGUCUGAUACGCGAUGGGAAGGCUAUUUAAAGAGAGAAAAAGUCAGAAGACCUGCCAAUAAUAUAAGUUACAA